rnacentral:rRNA from 1 species
GACGAACGCUGGCGGCGUGCUUAACACAUGCAAGUCGAACGGUAAGGCCCUUCGGGGUACACGAGUGGCGAACGGGUGAGUAACACGUGGGUGAUCUGCCCUGCACUUUGGGAUAAGCCUGGGAAACUGGGUCUAAUACCGAAUAGGACCAUGGACUUCACGGUUUGUGGUGGAAAGCUUUUGCGGUGUGGGAUGGGCCCGCGGCCUAUCAGCUUGUUGGUGGGGUAAUGGCCUACCAAGGCGACGACGGGUAGCCGGCCUGAGAGGGUGACCGGCCACACUGGGACUGAGAUACGGCCCAGACUCCUACGGGAGGCAGCAGUGGGGAAUAUUGCACAAUGGGCGCAAGCCUGAUGCAGCGACGCCGCGUGAGGGAUGACGGCCUUCGGGUUGUAACCUCUUUCAGCACAGACGAAGCGCAAGUGACGGUA